rnacentral:rRNA from 1 species
CCCUUAGACGUUCUGGGCCGCACGCGCGCUACACUGAUCAGUGCAACAAGCAUCCGUCCUUGGCCGACAGGCCCGGGCAAUCUUUGAACGCUGGUCGUGAUGGGGAUAGACUUUUGCAAUUUUUGGUCUUCAACGAGGAAUUCCUAGUAAACGCAAGUCAUCAACUUGCAUUGAUUACGUCCCUGCCCUUUGUACACACCGCCCGUCGCACCUACCGAUUGAAUGGUCCGGUGAAGCCUCCGGAUUGGCGCGCACCUCGGUGCCGCCGAGAAGUUGGCUAAACCUCACCAUUUAGAGGAAGGUGAAGUCGUAACA